AGUGAACGCUGGCGGCAGGCCUAACACAUGCAAGUCGAACGACAGCACAGUAAGAGCUUGCUCUUACGGGUGGCGAGUGGCGGACGGGUGAGGAAUACAUCGGAAUCUACUUUUUCGUGGGGGAUAACGUAGGGAAACUUACGCUAAUACCGCAUACGACCUACGGGUGAAAGCAGGGGAUCUUCGGACCUUGCGCGAUUGAAUGAGCCGAUGUCGGAUUAGCUAGUUGGCGGGGUAAAGGCCCACCAAGGCGACGAUCCGUAGCUGGUCUGAGAGGAUGAUCAGCCACACUGGAACUGAGACACGGUCCAGACUCCUACGGGAGGCAGCAGUGGGGGAUAUUGGACAAUGGGCGCAAGCCUGAUCCAGCCAUACCGCGUGGGUGAAGAAGGCCUUCGGGUUGUAAAGCCCUUUUGUUGGGAAAGAAAAGCAGCAGGUUAAUACCCCGCUGUUCUGACGGUACCCAAAGAAUAAGCACCGGCUAACUUCGUG
rnacentral:rRNA from 1 species